CUAUGGUCACACCAUGCAACACACCUGAGCUCAUCUGAUGUCUGAAGGUAAAGCAGAGUUGGCCACAGAUAGUACUUGGAUGGGAGACUGGCUAGACAUACCAGGGUCCUAACAGC
ensembl:rRNA 5S_rRNA 5S ribosomal RNA